UUUAGACACCUAAAAGGUGAGUGUAUAUCUUGCACUCUUAUUUUUUAAGGAUCAAUAUUAAUUUUCACACCAAUUUUAUUAGUUUCUGUUAUUUUAAUACUAAAUUCUCAUACUAUACUUUCAUUAAAGAUACCGAUCAUUCUUGACGCAAGUGGCAAAGGAUCUGGUGGUUGAUAUCCGAGAUCUCAAAUUCAAAUCCUAAUUGAUUUAUAUUUUCAGUCAAGUUUAUUUUUAAAAAAAAUUAAACGAAGCAAGUAGCAUGCUACCUAAGUCUCAUCAAAGGUCUAAAUAAACGCACUUCGUUUGCCACUUAUAAUCUGAACUAUGGAUUAUAUUGAAAUAAAUUAUCUAAUCUUUCGAAAUUUUAUUUUUUCGAUUCCAUCUUUUAACUUAUCUGAUUUGAGUGAGUCAAGAGCACUUCGACUUCAAAUUUUGAAUCUAUCAUUUAUCUUAUUAUUUAUCUUCACAAAUUUAAUUAGUAUGUUUCGUGCAAUCCUCAUAAUUAUAAAUUUUAAAAUAAAAAUAUCGUUGAUUGAUUCAAAUUAAAAAAAUUAAAAAAUUAUAUAAUAAAAAUAGAAUUUUAAAAAAUUGAGCAAGAAUUUUAA
rnacentral:lncRNA from 1 species